CCUACGGGGGGCAGCAGUGGGGAAUAUUGCACAAUGGGGGAAACCCUGAUGCAGCAACGCCGCGUGAGCGAUGAAGGCCUUCGGGUCGUAAAGCUCUGUCCUAAGGGAAGAAUACUGACGGUACCUUAGGAGGAGGCCCCGGCUAACUACGUGCCAGCAGCCGCGGUAAUACGUAGGGCGCUAGCGUUAUCCGGAGUUACUGGGCGUAAAGGGUGCGUAGGCGGCCCUUCGAGUUAGAGGUGAAAGGCUACGGCUCAACCGUAGUACGCCUUUGAAACUGUAGGACUUGAGUGCAGGAGAGGGGAGUGCAAGUCCCAGUGUAGCGGUGAAAUGCGUAGAUAUUGGGAGGAACGCCAGUUGCGAAGGCGGCUCUCUGGACUGUAACUGACGCUGAGCCACGAAAGCGUGGCGGGCGAACAGGAAUAGAUACAGCGGUAGUC
rnacentral:rRNA from 1 species